rnacentral:lncRNA from 1 species
UUCGUCUACUUUGCCUCAGAAAGUUUCAUUUCUGGGAAUGUAUCUUAAAAGAAAAAAAAAAAACAAAAUAUAGGGGGGGAAAGCCAACAUAUAAAGAUAUUUAUUGCAGCUCUAUUUAUAGCUAAAAUAAAAUGCAUAUAUAUAUAUAUAUAUAUAAACAAACAUCCAACAAGAAAAUGCCAUGCAGCCAUUUUUUAAAAAAGAAUUCUACAUCAACACUGAAAAAUACGAGAAAAAAGUAGAAGUUAAAUACACAUUUACAAUUUUGUAAAGAAAAUAAAANNNNNNNNNNGUGGGGUGGGGGGAUGGGGUGGGGAAGCCUGUUUUUUUCUUUUUCUCAAAAUUUCCCCUUAUCAUUUCUUUCAAAGCUGCCAGCAAAGUGGUGCCAUCCUAAACCUCCCCCAAAAUCUAAUGUAGGAAAGAAACCUUGAAUAGCCCUCCCUUAAGAGAAGAAACUGUUGGCUGGAUCUGCUUGGCGCUUAGGAUGGAAGUGCAGCAUGACAUGGAGGUCUUAGGGAGGAGAUGUGAUGGGAAAAGCCCAAUUCUUCUGUCUGUUCAGAACAGUCUCUUAGAUGGAAGGACAGGGAACUAGUGACCAUCAGGCAAAGAAUCACGAGGACAAAGGGGAUGUCGUGUGUGGACAGGCUCUUCCAACCACAAGGCACUGUCUACUAGCAAGACAGUGCCAAGGAGGGACGGGUCAGCCAGAAGAACCCAGACUUGGGAGUCUCGGGGAAGCCCAGCAUGAGCCCCAGGGGCUGUUCAGCACCUCUUGAUCAACCAGGGUUUUGCUGUCCUCAGGGCAGCCCUAGUACUGCUGGCCAGGAGUGAAACAGGAUCUCCCUAUGCUGAGCUGAAACAGGCUCACCUCUGCCCACAGGCCCCUCUUCCACCUGCCACAUAGAACGACCCAGAAUCACCCACCCCUGGGGUUCGCCCUGUCACUAUCCGCACUUAUCCCUCAUGUCUCCCUUUUUCAGGCCAAACGCCUGUGUCUCGCAGGGUCCAUUGCCCAGUCCAGACUGUCCGCCACACUGCUGCUCUCUUCUGGAUGCCCCUGUGUUUUGGGAAAAAAAACCCAGAGGGGAACAGUGCCCAUGACCAAAGCCCUGUGACCCCUCUGAUGAUCGUCUUCCCGGCUCAGCCUUGGACAGAAUUUGCUUUUCUAGCAACUACACCUCACUAACUGAUCUUUGACCUUCCAGUCAAUCAAACCACCCUUUUUUUCAUCUGGUUUACAAUCCUUAUCCAAUGUUCAUGCAGGUGGUGUUUUAAAGGGAGGAACUGCAUUGUCUAAACCCAAUGCUAGGACCUCCCGACUGGGUCACUUAAACCUCUCUGGGGAAGGCUGAGAACAGUCAUGUCAGGGGGAAGGAGACGCAAGACAAAAGGACAUUAUUACGGUGCUUUUUCCGUUUUUCUUUUUGCACAAAAACAGUCCAUUUAUUCAAGUGUUCUCCAGCACAAGUACAUUAGAAAGGAGCUUUAUUAUAUUCUUCUGGGCACAAAAAAAAAAAUGUGAUGAAGGCGGAAUUGACAGACUUUCUACAUCUGCUGUACGCACUGACCUCUUUAUAAUUAUUUCAUAACAGCUAUGUCACGAGCAUCACUUACACAGAGAUACAACAGGACAUGGGGGCGUGGUGGUGGGGACCCACGCAGGGCCUUCUCACACCCCCUCCCCGAUGUCCCAGAACCAGACUGUGAAAUGUACAUUAUUAUUGUCAAUAAAUAGAGAAGCAACCCUAAAAAAAAAAAAAAUACAGUGGUGAAAGGAUGCUGGAACCAGGAAGAAAAAAAAACAACAACAACAACAAAGAGUCAGAAGAGGAACUGAAGAAAAAGGAAAGAGGGCCGGGAAGGGAAGGGUCGGGGAGUAAGUCCUGCAUUUAGCUGCGUGGAAUGUGCAGUCAAAGUGUUCUCCCGCC